rnacentral:rRNA from 1 species
CCUACGGGAGGCAGCAGUGGGGAAUAUUGGACAAUGGUCAAAAGCCUGAUCCAGCCAUGCCGCGUGUGUGAAGAAGGUCUUCGGAUUGUAAAGCACUUUAAGUUGGGAGGAAGGGUUGUAGAUUAAUACUCUGCAAUUUUGACGUUACCGACAGAAUAAGCACCGGCUAACUCUGUGCCAGCAGCCGCGGUAAU